ACGCACGCUGGCGGCGUGCUUCACACAUGCCAGUCGAACGGAAAGGCCUCUUUCGGGGGGUACUCGAGUGGCGAACGGGUGAGUAACACGUGAGUAACCUGCCCUUGACUUUGGGAUAACUUCAGGAAACUGGGGCUAAUACCGGAUAGGAGCUCCUGCUGCAUGGUGGGGGUUGGAAAGUUUCGGCGGUUGGGGAUGGACUCGCGGCUUAUCAGCUUGUUGGUGGGGUAGUGGCUUACCAAGGCUUUGACGGGUAGCCGGCCUGAGAGGGUGACCGGCCACAUUGGGACUGAGAUACGGCCCAGACUCCUACGGGAGGCAGCAGUGGGGAAUAUUGCACAAUGGGUGGAAGCCUGAUGCAGCAACGCCGUGUGCGGGAUGACGGCCUUCGGGUUGUAAACCGCUUUCGCUCAUGACGAAGCUUUGUGUGACGGUAGUGGGUAAAGAAGCACCGGCUAACUACGUG
rnacentral:rRNA from 1 species